rnacentral:rRNA from 1 species
AAUCAACGCUGGCGGCGUGCCUCAGACAUGCAAGUCGAACGCGAAAGUUCCCUUCGGGGAGCAAGUAGAGUGGCGCACGGGUGAGUAACACGUAGGUAAUUUGCCUUCGGGUGGGGAAUAACAGUCGGAAACGACUGCUAAUACCGCAUAAUGCAGCGGCUCGACAUCGAGACAGUUGUUAAAGCGGGGGAGUCCUUCGGGACCUCGCGCCUGAAGAGAAGCCUGCGGCAGAUUAGCUAGUUGGUGAGGUAAUGGCCCACCAAGGCUACGAUCUGUAACCGGCCUGAGAGGGCGGUCGGUCACACUGACACUGACAUACGGGUCAGACUCCUACGGGAGGCAGCAGUCGGGAAUUUUGGGCAAUGGGCGCAAGCCUGACCCAGCAACGCCGCGUGAAGGAUGAAAUUUUUCGGAAUGUAAACUUCGCAAGAACGGG